CAGCCGCCACGGGAAUACGAAGGGGGCUAGCGUUGUUCGGAAUUACUGGGCGUAAAGCGCACGUAGGCGGAUAUUUAAGUCAGGGGUGAAAUCCCAGAGCUCAACUCUGGAACUGCCUUUGAUACUGGGUAUCUUGAGUAUGGAAGAGGUGAGUGGAAUUCCGAGUGUAGAGGUGAAAUUCGUAGAUAUUCGGAGGAACACCAGUGGCGAAGGCGGCUCACUGGUCCAUUACUGACGUUGAGGUGCGAAAGCGUGGGGAGCAAACAGGAUUAGAUACCCCCGUAGUCCCUGUCUCUUAUAC
rnacentral:rRNA from 1 species